CCUACGGGGGGCUGCAGUAGGGAAUAUUGGACAAUGGGCGAAAGCCUGAUCCAGCCAUGCCGCGUGAUAGAUGAAGGCCCUCUGGGUUGUAAAUAUCUUUUAUCUGGGAAGAAACAAUCUUAUUCUUAAGAUCUUGACGGUACCAGAGGAAUAAGCACCGGCUAACUCCGUGCCAGCAGCCGAGGUAAUACGGAGGGUGCAGGCGUUAUCGGGAUUCAAUGGGUCUAAAGGGUGCUUAGACGGGCUGAGAGAAAGCUUCGAGCUUAACUUGGAAACUGCCAUUGAUGCUGCCAGUCUUGAAUGUCGUAGAGGUAAGCGGAAUGUUGCAUGUAGCGGUGAAAUGCUUAGGUAUGUUACAGAACACCAAUUGCGAAGGCAGCUUACUAUGCGAUGAUUGACGCUGAGGCACGAAAGCGUGGGGAGCAAACAGGAUUAGAUACCCCAGUAGUC
rnacentral:rRNA from 1 species